GUCCACGCAGUAAACUGUGAACACUAGGUGUAGCGGGUAUUGACCCCUGCUGUGCCGAAGCUAACGCAUUAAGUGUUCCGCCUGGGAAGUACGGUCGCAAGGCUAAAACUCAAAGGAAUUGACGGGGCCGCACAAGCGGUGGAGCAUGUUGUUUAAUUCGACGCAACGCGAAGAACCUUACCUGGGUUUGACAUCCCGGGAAUUCCUGGAAACAGGGAGUGCCCUUCGGGAGCCCGGAGACAGGUGCUGCAUGGCUGUCGU
rnacentral:rRNA from 1 species